rnacentral:lncRNA from 10 species
GUGCAGUAUCUCUUUGGCAUAUUGAUUUCAUUUCCUUUUGGAAUUCAGUAAGUUCUCACUUAAUAUUGUUGAUAGGUUCUUGGAAACAGUGACUUUAAGCAAAUUGAGGUACAGCAGUUCCUUGAAUAAUGUUUUGUUCAACAUUGUUUCAUUAUCACGCUGAUGAAAAGAAAAUAUUGGUUUCAUUAUACUUCUCUUUGCUGAAAGUCAGUUUCCAAGAACCUAUCAAUGACAUUGAGGACUUGCUGUAUACCCAGAAGUGAGAUUACUAAAUCAUAUGGUAGUUCCAUUAAUAAUUUCUUGAGGAAACUUCAUACUCUUUUCCAUAAUGGCUAUGUCAAUUUACAUUUCCACCAACAAAGUAUAAGGGUUCCCUUUGUGCAACAUUCUCAUUAAUACUUGUUACCUUGACUUUUUAAUAAAAGCCAUCCUAACAAGUAUGAAGUGAUACUUCACUGUGGUUUUGACUUGCAUUUUUCUGUUGGAUUACUUAAUGGUUAAAGCUGCCAGUGUUCUCGGCAGAAGCAACUGCUGGGGUUUGUGUGGAUGAACACUAAAGGGACUUCCUUUGAAAAAGCUGCAGGAAGUCUUGGCUGCCUCAGUGGCUGUUGAGGUCCUCACCAGGAUUCUCUGUAGAGCAGGCCACUGAGGACCCUGGUGGCAGCUGCUGUGUGGCUAAUAUGUUUCAGGAAAAAUGAAAGCUGAUAUCUCCUACCCCACCAUACUAUUGACAUCCUGAAAAUAUUUACAAAAUGGGGAAGUUUCAGCAGGGAGACAGAUUCACUUUUGCCACACACAGUGCUAUCACUAAUUGGAGGAUUACUGCUCCAUCUGGAAACCAGAAGAGAACUGUCAUCCCAGGGCUCGGUUUCCAUUUCAGACCUGGGACACACUUCGGCCCUUGGACAUCAGAACUUCAGGCUUUUUGGCCUUAGGAUUCCAGGACUUACACCAGCAACUCCCUGGGUUCUCAGAGGUAUUUGGCCUUGGCCUGAAAGUUACACAUUAGCUUUCCUGGUUCCAAAGACUUCGGACUUGGACUGAGCCAUGCUUCCAGCAUUCCAGGGUCUCCAGCUUAGAGAUGGCCUACCACAGGACUUCUCAGCUUCCACAAUCAUUGUGUGAGCCAAUUCUCCUAACAAAUUCCCUCUCAUCCAUCCAUCUAUCAUCUAUCUUAUCUAUGUAUCUAUCUAUCCAACCAUCCAUCCAUCUUAUUGGUUCUAUCUUUCUGGAGAACCCUAAUAUACUAGGUAAAUUUGAAAAACAUAAAAGAUUUUACUGUCCAGUUGAUUUAAUAUAUUUUUUACUUUAGUCUUCUGUUACAAUAAAACAUGCUUAAUUACAUUAUCAUCCACCAGGUGAGAAGCUUUAAAGACCUUAUUGUUGAAAAAAUAAGAUAAAAAGCAUUCACAAACUACCUUCACAAGAAUAUAUAAAUACAAAUACAAAUAUAUGAGUUCAUUUAUUUUACACAUAUAUUUUGUGUAUUUAUUAACCAAAAAUAAGGCACCUCUUUCAAGCUCUUGGCAUGAUUAACAAUGUGGCUAUUAAUUUUGAAAAUAUGACGUGCUUAACAAUAGUAGUAAUUUUCAAUUUAUAUGUAUAGAAGUAUUUUCCAAAGAGAAGAUACCAGCUUUGAAUAGAUAAUAAAACUAUUAAAAAAAGCUUGUAUUAAAACAUUUUAAUCAUGUCAUAAUGUCUUUUAGUGCUUAACUUUUAAUGCUUUUCUUCAGUGGUUUUCCCAACUUAUAAAAAUUUAGUUUUAUAUAAAUUUUUUAAUUUGAUCUUAUUAGGAAAAAAUCAAACAUACUCUAACGUAUAUGUAUUUUAUAUAUAUAGUACAUAAAAUAUAUGUGUGUGUGUGUGUGUGUAUAUAUAUAUAUAUACACACACACAUAUAUAUGUUAUAUUCUUAAAACUCAGAAGGCGUUGGUUUAGUGCCUAGGAUCUGUUUUGACUUUAGACCUUGAUUCCUCUUAAUGAUAGUAUAUUAAGUAUUACUAGUAAGAUAGCAAAAAUAAUCCCAAACAAGUACGACUUAAAUUUCCUCUAUUAUGCUUACAAAUUAUAUUUAUAGUCCUUGAAUAGUUGGUUUGUUUAUUUUAGAAAAUUUACUUUUAAAAAUAUAAUGAAAAUUCCUGUUUUUAUCUUUUUAGGAGAAAAUAAUUCCCCUUUUCUCUACUGAAUGAAAAUUCAUGCAGAACAUUAAGCACACACAGAUAAACACACACGAGUAUAUAAAACUUGUAAAGUCAAAGAUAAGAAUGUCUGUCUCCACGUGCUAUCCUUGGAUGGGGGCCCCUUCUCCUGGUAGCUCCUAAGAUAUUUCCACAGCCUCUUAGGGCUUUUACAGGACUGUUUGAAAACUACUCUCAUAGAUAGAUAUGGUUGUUCAGUUUUCAUUCAUUUCUAGUAUCAGCAAAUACAGAUGGUCCUUAUCAACUUACAUUAUUUAAAGCAUAAAACAUACAUUGAAAUAUACUUCCUGUUCUUUGCAAUUAGUUAUUUAGAAACACAAAUGUCACUUGAAUUCAGAUUUGCGGCCAGAGAGAAUAAUAAACUUUUCAGAAAUAAUUUCUAAAACAUUCAAAAUCUUUAAGGAUGUUGGUUCAUUUCUAUGAAAUACAGCUGGAAAUACAAUUCUAUUGUUCUGUUUUGGCUUGCAUGGUGCCUACAGCUCCUCAUAGCUCUGUGUGUGUUGGUGAUUAUGUGAAAUAGCACAGCACAGCAUGAGUUCUGUAGUCCUCACUUCUGCCAACCUCCUGCAUUUACUUCAUAGUUGCUCACCUCUCAGGAUCAAGCUGACUGGUCACACCUUAUAUAUCUGCAGUCUCAAAGGCAAAUAGCCACCAAUGAGCAUGAUCUGUAUGAGCCAGAAAAGUAUGUGUCUUUUCAACAGAGUUGACACUGGCCCUUCCUUGUUUGUCGUUUGGUGGAUGGCCCAGCUAGAAUCUUUUGAAUGAUCUCUCUAGUGACAAGAUAUCUGAAUUCCUGCAAUUCUGAAAAAAAGUUAAAUUCAAUUUUCCUCUGUUAGAUCAACAAGUAUAGCACGGAAAUUUCCAAUAGCAUAUUACUUUUGUAAUUAUCUUUUUACUGGUUUUCUAGAAUAAAAAUCUAUAAAACUUUGUACCUUGUGGAGUCUACAAGUCUAUUUCUCCUCUCAUUUACCAUUUUUAAGAAACCAUGAACACAGGGUCAGGGCCAACCUGUUGAGUCAAUCCAUAACAAUAAACACCCUGACCAUCCACCAUAGACCUUCUCAGAAGGGAGAAAGUUGAUAAACAACUCUUGGCUGAAGAUAAGUGAAGAGGCUGACUAGCAAUGGCCACUAGCCUACUUCUCUUGCAUUCUUUAUCGAAAUGUCACUAUUCUAUAACUAAUGUUAUAAGUCUUAUCAGAAAAGGAGGUUAAAUUAUAUCAAAACUAUUUUGCCAUCUAUCAAGGUAUGUUUUUGUCCUUUUAAGUACUAAGAUGAAAAUGUAUGCCAUACCUUUCCAGUGACUGACUCAUUCUUGAAUUCCUAAAAUAAACCCUUGUUAGUGAUGUAUUUUACUUUUGUUAUAGUCCUAGAUUAGAUUUCUUAAAACUUGAUUUUGUACUCUUUAAGUACGCAUACUCUGUUUCCCAGAUUUUAUUAUUGGAAUUAUGCUAAUUUAUACAGUUAAUUGAAAAGGCUUCCUUGAUUCUCUUUUUUCUAGAAAACUACAUAGUGAAGGAAUUAUUGACACCUUGAAGUUUUCAUUGGAUUCACCUGUAAUUAUGACCAAAUUGGUUUGGGGGUAUAUUCACUAGUUUGCCAAUUUAUAUUCUAGAUAGCAGUUAGCUGGGAUUUCUAAUUUUUCUUCAGUGAAUUUAUAUCUAUUUAUUCUAGAUUUUCAAAUAGAAGAACAGAAAGUAGCAAACACUAAUAUAUCUGAGUGUUUCUCUCUUUUUUUAGUUCAUAAUGUAUGGAUUUUUCUUUUCUUUCUUUUUUCUUUCACUUCUUUAGGCCUCCCUGGGAUUUAUCUAUGUUAUGAACCAUAACAUAGCACGAAAUAAUGGCUUUAGCAAGAUGCUGAUUAUGCUCUAUUCUGUUUCAUAAUUUCAGCUUUUAUGUCUGUAGCUACCUCCUAUUUUCCAAAUAUGGAUUUUUUUCCUGUUUUCUGGUUUCUUGAAGUGAAUUGUUAGGUUAUUUGUUUCAUAUUGUUUUAUCAUUAAGCAUUUGGAAAUUUGAAUUUAUUUUAGUGAAGUUCAGUUCACUUUCAGUUUAUGUAUUUUCAAGCUCAUUGCUUUCUAGGUAAUUUAUAACUAUCAUUUUGAUUUAUUCAAUGAUUUUAGAAUUUAGAAGAAUCAAUAGUCUAAGUCAUUUAUGUUUGUAUUUAUUAUUUUGUUUUUAAAUUCCAGUUUUAUUGCAUUUUUUCAGGGAUGUAGAGAUGAAUGUGGAAAAUCACUUCAGAAAUAUAUAUGAACGUAGAUAUGGAGUAGAAGCUAUCAUCUAAUUAAAAUAAUGUAAAGGGGGUAAAUGCUGAAUAAUUUUAUUUGUAAUAGUAAGAUGAAUUCAUCAGAUGAAGCACUGUCAUUACAAACUCAAACAUGAUAUUGCAAGUAUUUAUUCUGUGAUUUAAUAGAAAAAUGUUGACAUGUUUUCAUGGAAGAAAAUAAAAACUUACACAAAAGUAGUGUCAUAGGACACUUGAAAAGGACAAAUGAAAAGGACAAAUAAUGUCGUUGAUGUGCCAAGAAUGAUGAUAUAAACCCUAUUACAAGGCAAAAGAUGUGCUACUUAAUAUUAUGUCCAACCUGCUAUGAUUUCACCACGCAGAACUUACUGAAAUGUUACCUUUUCCGUCAUGGGAUCCAUUGUUAAAUUCAACAGUUAGCACUAACACCUUAAACGAGUGUAGCCAAAGGCCAUCACUUAGUGCAUCUGAGCAUUUUAAUGUAGAGAAUCAUGAAAAGAACUGAGGUUUUCAGGUUUCAGAAUAUACGUAACAAUUUGACUGCAUAGGUUAGUUCUAAUUAUAUUCUAAUGAGGCUAAAUAUAAGGAUUCAGUUUUUAUUAUAGUAAAUGACUUAUAGAUUAUAUUUUUCCUUCAUUACCUCUUAAUUUAAUUAUGUUAUCACAAUUGUCAGUUCUAAAACAGUAAAAGGAUAUUUCUCAUUAGAAGAUGUAUUGGUCAAUUUGGUCAGAAAUCCUUCACUCAAUUUCACUUACAGAUGUGAUGUGCACAUCUUCAGACCAAUCCAUUUGUCUGUCACAAUACGGCACGGGAGCUAAAAAAGGCUCUGGUUGGCUGAUCAAAUGCAACUUCCCAUUUCAAGGGUUUAUAAUUUCAUUAUAAAAAUUAACUUCUGUCUGACUCUAGCUAGAGGCUCUCAAAAUUUGGAAGACAUUAUUUCUGGAUAUCUCUAAUUUCAAAUACACUAAUUUUAUAGAAUUUCGUACUGACCAACUUGAGCAUAAUAGUUCAUAUAAUUUUAAAGCUUACUCCAAUUAAUAUUCUUUCUGAAUCAUUUUGCAUAAGCAUCCUCCCAGUGAUGUGAAACAAUGUUGCCCAGUUCAAAUAAGCAUUAAGUGUUGAGGUAAUGUAAAAGAAACAAGGAUGAAGUCUGAGAAAUUCUAAGGAACAAGACAAUUUUGUGAUCUGGUAAUGAAAAGAGCAAAGAGAAAAAGAGAUCUUCAAGGAAGAUAAGUAAUACAAAUUCACAGCUUAUACUUACAUAGACACCAGUAUAAUGUAGGUAUGAAUACCACUUAAAAUUUUUAAUCACCAAAUACUCAGUUAAAUACUUUGGGCAGAGAAGUAUUUAUGUCCACUCUAAGCUGAUUAUGAUAGUCCUGUUAUUUUUGACUAGGGAUUGAUUUAGUCAUGCACAUACGAUAAAACUCUGACCAAUGAGAUGUGAGGCUAUCCGUUGGAGAGAUUCUGAGAGGGUUCUGCUCACUCUUUAAAGGAGAAAUAAAGUACAUUAGAAUUAUUUUUACUUGUAAGAUUUCCACCUGCUGGUGACGACUGGAAUUGCAGCAUUAAUGUUGAAACCCUGACGGGAGCCUCUUACGCUAACAUGCAAAGGACUGCAGAGAAGAAAAUGGAAACAGACAAAAGAAUCAUGACAUCCCUGAGCUAUUGAGUUAAACAUACCUAGACCCGCUGUCCUAUGUGAACCUAGAAGGGUGGCUGUUACGUGAGAUAAAAAUUGUCCUUAAGCCAAUUAAAUUUUUCCUUCCAAUGUUUUUGUUUGUUUGUUUUGUUUUUCGGUAGAAGAAUGUGAG